GACGAACGCUGGCGGCGUGCCUAACACAUGCAAGUCGAACGAAGUGGCGAACGGGUGAGUAACGCGUAAUCAACCUGCCCUUCAGAGGGGGACAACAGUUGGAAACGACUGCUAAUACCGCAUACUGAAGGAGGGGGUUGCGUUGGAUUAGCUAGUUGGAGGGGGAACGGGCCACCAAGGCGAUGAUCAGUAGGCGGGCUGGGAAGGUGAACGGCCAAAAUGGGACUGGGACACGGGCCAGGACCCUACCGGAGGCAACAAGUGGGGAUCUUCCGGAAAGGGCGGAAAUCUGGCGGGACAAAGGCGCGUGGGUGAUGACGGGCUUCGGGUUGGAAAGCUCUGUUAGUCAGGGCGCGGUACCGAAAUAGAAAGCCACGGCUAACUACGUGCCAGCAGCCGCGGUAAUUC
rnacentral:rRNA from 1 species